rnacentral:lncRNA from 1 species
AUUAUUAUUAUUAUUAUUAUUAUUAUUAUUAUUAUCUAGUUUGCCUUCAUUCGGGGCGUGAUGAUAAUUCGAAUUAUCAAGUUAAAAGGACCGUUAAACGCGUAUCGGUCGAUUUUCUGUAGCCGAACAGGUGAUACUGUAAGCAACGUGUACUUUUCUAUCUUCUAUUCUUUACCAUUUCAUUAAUAUGACAAAUGAAGAAUAUUUUUCCGUGAUAUUAGUCCCUUCGUGGAUGUCGCCGUUACAGCGAAGAUUACUUGCAAACAUUUACAGAAUGCUUUUCGAGGUUCAAUCUGCUUCACGUGGGAAUGACUCCACAUGGCGAAUGUCUUUACUUAAAACAGUAUUUCUCUUCCAUAUUCAUCAACUCCGCAUUCUAACUACUUUUACGGAAAUCGUAUUCUUAGUUACCAGAUCGCUAUCAAACAAAAAUCGAAAUUUUUGUUUUGACUUUUUAUUUUAACUGACUCUUUAAUGGUGUGUAUUCGUUAGAUCUGUUGUGCUGCUG